UUAUGUUAGUGGCGGACGGGUGAGUAACGCGUGGGUAACCUGCCCCAUACCGGGGGAUACCAGCCGGAAACGGCUGCUAAUACCGCAUAAGCGCACAGCUUUGCAUGAAGCAGUGUGAAAAACUCCGGUGGUAUGGGAUGGACCCGCGUCCGAUUAGCCAGUUGGCGGGGUAGAGGCCCACCAAAGCGACGAUCGGUAGCCGGCCUGAGAGGGCGGACGGCCACAUUGGGACUGAGACACGGCCCAAACUCCUACGGAAGGCAGCAG
rnacentral:rRNA from 1 species